CGUAAGAUGUAAAAUAACUGACAUUUGCGGAAGCAUAGCAGAAUUUAUUGAUUGAGCGUUAAUAAUAUUUGUAGAAGACACUAUACCACUUGAUAAUUCUUCUACUAACGUUAACUUCUUAACAGGUUCACAUUAUCAUAUGCACCUUCAACAUCCAGAAAUACACAGAUUGCAUUAGAGUGAGCAAAGAUAGAAUUUUUGAUGUCAGCAAUGAAUGAAACGAAGCCUUCAACUGCACUUUUACCUUUUCUGAAACCUAGUUGAUAAUCAGGU